rnacentral:rRNA from 1 species
UUGAACGCUGGCGGCAGGCCUAACACAUGCAAGUCGAGCGGAUGAAGGGAGCUUGCUCCUGGAUUCAGCGGCGGACGGGUGAGUAAUGCCUAGGAAUCUGCCUGGUAGUGGGGGAUAACGUCCGGAAACGGGCGCUAAUACCGCAUACGUCCUGAGGGAGAAAGUGGGGGAUCUUCGGACCUCACGCUAUCAGAUGAGCCUAGGUCGGAUUAGCUAGUUGGUGGGGUAAAGGCCUACCAAGGCGACGAUCCGUAACUGGUCUGAGAGGAUGAUCAGUCACACUGGAACUGAGACACGGUCCAGACUCCUACGGGAGGCAGCAGUGGGGAACAUUGGACAAUGGGCGAAAGCCUGAUCCAGCCAUGCCGCGUGUGUGAAGAAGGUCUUCGGAUUGUAAAGCACUUUAAGUUGGGAGGAAGGGCAGUAAGUUAAUACCUUGCUGUUUUGACGUUACCAACAGAAUAAGCACCGGCUAACUUCGUG